UACGUAGGGUCCGAGCGUUGUUCGGAAUUACUGGGCGUAAAGGGCGCGUAGGCGGCCUUCUAAGUCGAACGUGAAAUCCCCGGGCUCAACCCGGGAACUGCGUCCGAUACUGGGAGGCUUGAAUCCGGGAGAGGGAUGUGGAAUUCCUGGUGUAGCGGUGAAAUGCGCAGAUAUCAGGAGGAACACCGGUGGCGAAGGCGGGUCUCUGGGCCGAUACUGACGCUGAGGAGCGAAAGCGUGGGGAGCGAACAGG
rnacentral:rRNA from 1 species